CUACGGGAGGCUGCAGUUAGGGAUAUUCGGCAAUGGGGGAAACCCUGACCGAGCAAUGCCGCGUGAAUGAAGAAGUAUUUCGAUAUGUAAAGUUCUGUUGUUAAGGAAGAAAGGUACGAAUAGGAAAUGAUUCGUAAUUGACGGUACUUAACCAGAAAGCCCCUGCUAACUACGUGCCAGCAGCAGCGGUAAUACGUAGGGGGCGAGCGUUAUCCGGAAUUAUUGGGCGUAAAGGGUGCGUAGGCGGCCUGUCAAGUCCGAGUUGAAAGCCCACGGCUUAACCGUGGAGGGUGCUCGGAAACUGAUAGGCUUGAAUCCAGAAGAGGCAAGUGGAAUUCUAUGUGGAGCGGUGGAAUGCGUAGAUAUAAGGAGGAACACCAGUGGCGAAGGCGGCUUGCUGGGCUGGUAUUGACGCUGAUGCACGAAAGCGUGGGGAGCAAACAGGAUUAGAUACCCCCGUAGUC
rnacentral:rRNA from 1 species